rnacentral:rRNA from 1 species
GGCAGGCCUAACACAUGCAAGUCGAACGGUAACAGGAAGAAGCUUGCUUCUUUGCUGACGAGUGGCGGACGGGUGAGUAAUGUCUGGGAAACUGCCUGAUGGAGGGGGAUAACUACUGGAAACGGUAGCUAAUACCGCAUAACGUCGCAAGACCAAAGAGGGGGACCUUCGGGCCUCUUGCCAUCGGAUGUGCCCAGAUGGGAUUAGCUAGUAGGUGGGGUAACGGCUCACCUAGGCGACGAUCCCUAGCUGGUCUGAGAGGAUGACCAGCCACACUGGAACUGAGACACGGUCCAGACUCCUACGGGAGGCAGCAGUGGGGAAUAUUGCACAAUGGGCGCAAGCCUGAUGCAGCCAUGCCGCGUGUAUGAAGAAGGCCUUCGGGUUGUAAAGUACUUUCAGCGGGGAGGAAGGGAGUAAAGUUAAUACCUUUGCUCAUUGACGUUACCCGCAGAAGAAGCACCGGCUAACUCCGUGCCAGCAGCCGCGGUAAUACGAAGGGUGCAAGCGUUAAUCGGAAUUACUGGGCGUAAAGCGCACGCAGGCGGUUUGUUAAGUCAGAUGUGAAAUCCCCGGGCUCAACCUGGGAACUGCAUCUGAUACUGGCAAGCUUGAGUCUCGUAGAGGGGGGUAGAAUUCCAGGUGUAGCGGUGAAAUGCGUAGAGAUCUGGAGGAAUACCGGUGGCGAAGGCGGCCCCCUGGACGAAGACUGAC